GGCGGGUUCGGCCAGCGGUCAGGCCGCCGCGUUCUCAGCGCGGAGACAGGGGUUCGACUCCCCUACUCGCUACCA
rnacentral:tRNA from 1 species